rnacentral:rRNA from 1 species
GGCUUAAUACAUGCAAGUCGAGGGGCAUCAGGACUAAACCUAGUUUAGUUGCUGGCGACCGGCGCACGGGUGAGUAACGCGUACGCAAUCUACCCUUAAGCGGGGAAUAGCCCUGGGAAACCGGGAUUAAUACCGCAUAUAUACUGAUUGAGGCAUCUUAGUCAGUAAAAAAUUACGAUGCUUAAGGAUGAGCGUGCGUCCUAUUAGCUAGUUGGUGAGGUAACUGCUCACCAAGGCUACGAUAGGUAGGGGGCGUGAGAGCGUGAUCCCCCACACGGGUACUGAGACACGGACCCGACUCCUACGGGAGGCAGCAGUAAGGAAUAUUGGACAAUGGGCGCAAGCCUGAUCCAGCCAUCCCGCGUGCAGGAUGACUGCCCUAUGGGUUGUAAACUGCUUUUAUAUAGGAAGAAAUCUGAGUAUUUAUACUCAGUUGACGGUACUAUAAGAAUAAGCACCGGCUAACUCC